GACAGAGGUGCCAAGCGUUAGGCGGAAUCACUGGGCUUAAAGCGUGUGUAGGCGGAAUCGUAAGUACCUUGUGAAAUCCCACGGCUCAACCGUGGAACUGCUUGGUAUACUGCGUUUCUUGGGCCAAUUAGGGGCAGCCGGAACAAAUGGUGGAGCGGUGAAAUGCGUAGAUAUCAUUUGGAACGCCAAUGGUGAAAACAACUCGCUGGGGGUGUGCUGACGCUGAGACACGAAAGCCAGGGGAGCGAACGGG
rnacentral:rRNA from 1 species